AUCACUUCUUGGCCUUUUGGCUAAGAUAAAGUGUAGUAUCUAUUCUUAUCAGUUUAAGUUUAAAUUGCUGAUGCAUAUGAUGCCUAUAUAGAAACAAAGGCAUUUUUUACACUUUUAAAAAAAAGACCUAUUGGAA
rnacentral:snRNA from 1 species